rnacentral:lncRNA from 1 species
AUCUCGGGUUUGGGGUUAGGGUUAGUGGAAAGGCCACGAGGAGCCGCGGGGGCUCAGGAGCCGGUGGUGGGCGUCUGAGGAGAAGUCGCCCCACGAGGAAGCUCUUCAGCUUCGGGAGACGCCUGGGCCGGGCGGUCCUGGGCUCCAUCGGCCACGAGUACGCGGGUCCCGGGUACCACACCAGCGACGCGGAACUGCGGAAGAUCCACAGGGCGGCCCUCAAGGGCGACGCCGCGGAGGUGGAGCGCCGCCUGGCGCGCAGGUGCCGGGACGUGGAAGCCCAGGACAGGCCUGUUCUACAUUUGGCCUCUGCCUAUGGCCGUGUAGAAGUGGUCACUCUCUUGCUGAGCAGAAAAUGCCAGAUCGACAUCUGUGACAGACUAAACAGGAUGCCUUUAAUGAAGGAAGAGACGUGUUCCAUUAUUCUGCUGGAACAUGGCACCAAUCCAAACAUUAAGGACGUCUACAGCAACACUGCUCUUCAUGAUGGUAAACAUUGA